rnacentral:rRNA from 1 species
GAUGAACGCUGACAGAAUGCUUAACACAUGCAAGUCAACUUGAACUUCGGUUUGGGUGGCGGACGGGUGAGUAACGCGUACAGAACUUGCCUCACAGAUAGGGACAACAUUUGGAAACGAAUGCUAAUACCUGAUAUUAUGAUUUUAGGGCAUCCUAGGAUUAUGAAAGCUAUAUGCGCUGUGAGAGAGCUUUGCGUCCCAUUAGCUAGUUGGAGCGGUAACGGCUCACCAAGGCGAUGAUGGGUAGCCGGCCUGAGAGGGUGAUCGGCCACAAGGGGACUGAGACACGGCCCUUACUCCUACGGGAGGCAGCAGUGGGGAAUAUUGGACAAUGGACCAAGAGUCUGAUCCAGCAAUUCUGUGUGCACGAUGAAGUUUUUCGGAAUGUAAAGUGCUUUCAGUUGGGAAGAAAAAAAUGACGGUACCAACAGAAGAAGUGACGGCUAAAUACGUG